GCCAAAUUCGGUGUCCCAGCUGUAAAUGAAGGUGUCAAAGUUGUUGACAGUUCAGCGACUGAGAUAGAUGAUGUUUUUGAGGAAAUUGUGAAGGAUCCAGCCACUGGGGUACUAACCAUCAAAUACAAAACAGACACAAUCAUCCUUGAAGACACCAGAAAGCGUCAGAGGCUGGACUCUGAAGCUAUGCAACUUUGGCGGAAGGACCAUCUGAUGAAGACAAGUCGGGAGGACCAACUGUUGGACGAGUUACCCAAUUCCAUCCAGAGAUUGUCCUGUCUUGGAAGCGAUGUCACUGAUGAAACAUUCGGCUGACGUGGACAUGGUCAUCAAAAAGAUGAAGCUGACAUUUGCCCAUCGGCAUAACAUGGUCCUGGACCAACAGCAGUCAAGCAACAUUCUAUCUUAUUUUCCUCGUUUUAAAGACAUCAAUGGCUUGGUUGAACAGGAUUUUGUUCUAAUGUUUGGAGAGGAUUAAUCGUGCAAGUUUCUGGAAAAGUGGUCAACCACAUUCAAAAAGAAGAUCUUCCAACAAUACAGAAAGCUUCCCUCCAUUUUUGAGCUUGAGGAACUCCUGAUGGCAGCUGACCCUCCUGAGGAUGGGGCUGAAGUGAACGUUGACUUUGGUCGGAAGAGGCCAGGAGAAGUUUCUGCAUCCCGGGCUGAGAAGCAUCUUGUGGUCUUCAACAAGACUGGAUAAAGCAUCUUAGAACAUCUUGACACCAUUAUUACCAGCACUCAACCCUAUCUCCUGGCUGUUGGAGUGAGGAAGAAUACAAUCCACGAGUUCUUCAUAAUUCUCGACAAGAAUGCCGUACCUUGCAGGACACACUCCUCUCUUGGUGCUUUUGAUGAACUGUUUAAAGCACACUUUGUGUUUGUGACAUCAUACCGCACCAUGCUCCGCAACAUGUACACAUUCAUGCCUUACUCCAAACCAUUUGAUGUUCAAAUGGCGUAUGGAACAUCAUGUUCCACAUUGUAUGUUGUCCCAUAUUGCCAUUUCAUGCAGACCUAAGUCCACCCUUUAUGUAUUCUGUCCCUAAAGUUGAUUGUCCUGCCUGACAAAUAAAUAAAGGUUACUAAAUGUA